AUUAAAAUAAAUACGCAUAUAUAUGUACGGUAAAUAUUAGCAGCUUGGGUAUUACAUCUAUGGUGCAAGGAAGUAUUCAAAUGUUCAUUAAAGUAGCUUGCGUCAUAGUUUUUUCGCAUCAUAUGUAACAUAUCUCUAUAGCAACUUAAAGAUGCUAAUGCUUAUUUAACAGGUCAAAUAAUUAAGCUAUUGCGCAUGUAUAUGACAGGUGGCCAUAGAAAGAACAGAUGUAUUCCGAAUAACAUCCGGUGUUCCGAAAGACUACGGACAUCGUCCAAUAUAUACUGCGUAAACCCUCAGGGGUUUACGCAAUAAGGACUAAUCAGCGUGGUAGAUUACUCUGACGCAGCCGAUGAUCGAUCCUAUCUUCUCCAUUUGAACUGAAC
rnacentral:lncRNA from 1 species